rnacentral:rRNA from 1 species
UAGGGAAUCUUCGGCAAUGGACGAAAGUCUGACCGAGCAACGCCGCGUGAGUGAAGAAGGUUUUCGGAUCGUAAAACUCUGUUGUUAGAGAAGAACAAGGACGUUAGUAACUGAACGUCCCCUGACGGUAUCUAACCAGAAAGCCACGGCUAACUACGUGCCAGCAGCCGCGGUAAUACGUAGGUGGCAAGCGUUGUCCGGAUUUAUUGGGCGUAAAGCGAGCGCAGGCGGUUUCUUAAGUCUGAUGUGAAAGCCCCCGGCUCAACCGGGGAGGGUCAUUGGAAACUGGGAGACUUGAGUGCAGAAGAGGAGAGUGCAGUUCCAUGUGUAGCGGUGAAAUGCGUAGAUAUAUGGAGGAACACCAUUGGCGAAGGCGGCUCUCUGGUCUGUAACUGACGCUGAGGCUCGAAAGCGUGGGGAGCAAACAGG